AUUGAACGCUGGCGGCAGGCCUAACACAUGCAAGUCGAACGGUAGCACAGAGAGCUUGCUCUCGGGUGACGAGUGGCGGACGGGUGAGUAAUGUCUGGGAAACUGCCCGAUGGAGGGGGAUAACUACUGGAAACGGUAGCUAAUACCGCAUAACGUCGCAAGACCAAAGUGGGGGACCUUCGGGCCUCACACCAUCGGAUGUGCCCAGAUGGGAUUAGCUAGUAGGUGGGGUAAUGGCUCACCUAGGCGACGAUCCCUAGCUGGUCUGAGAGGAUGAACAGCCACACUGGAACUGAGACACGGUCCAGACGCCUACGGGAGUCAGCAGUGGGGAAUAUUGCACAAUGGGCGCAAGCCUGAUGCAGCCAUGCCGCGUGUAUGAAGAAGGCCUUCGGGUUGUAAAGUACUUUCAGCGGGGAGGAAGGCGGUGAAGUUAAUAACUUCACCGAUUGACGUUACCCGCAGAAGAAGCACCGGCUAACUCCGUGCCAGCAGCCGCGGUAA
rnacentral:rRNA from 1 species